UGGGGAAUAUUGCGCAAUGGGCGGAAGCCUGACGCAGCGACGCCGCGUGGGGGAUGAAGGCCUUCGGGUUGUAAACCCCUUUCACCAGGAGCGAAUCCAGACGGUACCUGGGGAAGAAGCGCCGGCUAACUACGUGCCAGCAGCCGCGGUAAUACGUAGGGCGCAAGCGUUGUCCGGAAUUAUUGGGCGUAAAGAGCUCGUAGGCGGCCUGUCGCGUCCGCUGUGAAAUCCUGGGGCUUAACCCCGGGCGUGCAGUGGAUACGGGCUGGCUAGAGGCAGGCAGGGGAGAACGGAAUUCCCGGUGUAGCGGUGAAAUGCGCAGAUAUCGGGAGGAACACCGGUGGCGAAGGCGGUUCUCUGGGCCUGUUCUGACGCUGAGGAGCGAAAGCGUGGGGAGCAAACAGGAUUAGAUACCCUGGUAGUCCACGCCGUAAACGUUGGGCGCUAGGUGUGGGGCCCUUCCACGGGCUCUGUGCCGCAGCUAACGCAUUAAGCGCCCCGCCUGGGGAGUACGGCCGCAAGGC
rnacentral:rRNA from 1 species